rnacentral:rRNA from 1 species
CACGUAGUUAGCCGUGACUUUCUGGUUGAAUACCGUCACUGCGUGAACAGUUACUCUCACGCACGUUCUUCUUCAACAACAGAGUUUUACGAGCCGAAACCCUUCUUCACUCACGCGGUGUCGCUCCAUCAGGCUUGCGCCCAUUGUGGAAGAUUCCCUACUGCUGCCUCCCGUAGGAGUAUGGACCGUGUCUCAGUUCCGUUGUGGCCGAUCAGUCUCUCAACUCGGCUAUGCAUCAUUGCCUUGGUAGGCCGUUACCCUACCAACUAGCUAAUGCACCGCGGGUCCAUCCUGAAGUGAUAGCCGAAACCAUCUUUCAAACGAAAACCAUGUGGUUUUCGUUGUUAUGCGGUAUUAGCACCUGUUUUCAAAUGUUAUCCCCCGCUUCAGGGCAGGUUGCCCACGUGUUACUCACCCGUCCGCCGCUCACUGGUAAUCCAUCGUCACUUCAGUGCAAGCACGUCAGAUCAGUUGGGCCAGUGCGCUCGA